UUAUAAUAAACCAUUAUCGGUUUUGUCGUUCCACCGCAUCCAAACGUUCCGACGCAUUAAUCGCCACAUUUUCAACUUGUGCAACCAUGUCAUUUGUAACCGACCCGUUUCAAAUUUGCUUAUAGUAUCGCGUAAAUUUAUGGAUCGACUUUACCGCACCUCAAAAAUCAAAGGAGCAAAUUAGGUACGACGAAUUUAACAAAUAUAAUAAUUACAAAAUUAUUAUACCUGUAACACCGCCCUCCACGUCUCCAUCGAAACGAAGGCGUUUUAUACCUUCCGAUAAUUUUAAUAUACCUGACGAUUUUAAAUCAACCAUUUUUCGCAUUGCUAAUUUAAUUAAUAGCGAUAUUAUAGCCGAAACGAUUAACGACCCGACACCACGAAUAUAUAAAGGUGGUAUUCCGCCAUAUUAUACCUUGCCUUCGUUAUUUGUUUUUCGCCCAAAUGCAAAUUAUUCCCAAAAUUCGGGGUUAAUAGUCUCCGGUUCCAAUAUAUCUGGUUCCGGUCUAACCCCCAGGCGACGUUUUGUAAACCCGGUUAAAAAAAUAAACGAUUUACGGAAAUUAACUAUACCCAUAAUAUUUAUUUUGUUUAUAAUAUUAAAAAAACAAUUCCCCCCUAAUAUAUUUACCAUUUAUAAACGUAUCGAGGAUAUUAUAUAUUAUAAAAACCCAUUUGCGCCGGUGGAGGUUAAAUUAGCCAUUAACGAUAUUAUAUAAGCCACCGGAGAAAGAAAAUGGCCCAUUGGCUGGUUUAAAUAAUAAGCCGAUAUUGGUGGCGCGGUUGCGGAGCGGGAGCUGGAAAAAAUUUUUAAAAUCCAAAUUUUAACAGCAGAAUGCUCGAACGAAAAAGUAUCUGAAGCGAUAUGGAAUUUGGAGGUUUACGGUCCGUUAUUUAAAUUGGUAAUAACCGCAAUCCGUGGUAUUUUUCGUUAUUUAAUUAUAAUAGCAAAAAUUAAGCCCAAAUAGUUUCCGAUUAUACGUAUUUCGCCAGGACCCUCAGUUUUAGCGUCAAAAUCCGGGUCGAUUAGGUGUUUUGGUAAUAAUAUCGGGGGAAAAAUGGUAGAUUUUGCCCUAACUUUGGAUAUUGUUUUUAUUCCUUUGGCAGUAAUUAAAAAGCAUAUUUAUACCAGCGACUUCCGGCAGAUUUAUCUAUUAACCAAACUAUAUAUAACCCGCUAAUUUUGCGGCCUAUUGGUGUAAACGUCGAAACCAAAGCUUUUAUUGCGGGAGCCGAAUAAAGCCGCAUUUAAUUUGUUUUAUGGACCAUUGUAUAAUAUAAAAGAGUCCAGGUAUGGGUGGAUAACUGCGCCGAUAAUAUUUGUCUUCCUGACGCCAUACCAAUUAUCUUGGUUAUUAAAUAUGCAUGGAAUUUGGCGUUCGUCUGCAAUAGGGAUGGCGAGGCAUUUGAAUUGGUAUAUAAAAUCUCGAUUGGGAGCAUUUCGAAUCUGCGUAAUUUAUACAAAUUUCUGGCUAUAUUGCGCAUUUUGGGUUAUUGGAUAAAUAUUAAUUUCAAACAAUAGUUCGAACGGUUGUUCCGAAUAUGUAAAUAGGCGCGCAGGUUUGUCCAGACGGUGGCUCCAAGAAAUUUAAAAUUGCACCCGCAACCAGCCCCAAAUUCGUUCCUUAAUCGACCUGUUAUAUAUUUUAAUUAUUUUGGAAUAAGAAACGUUUUAUAAAAUGAAACGCGGACGUUUACGAGGCAAAUUUCUGCCUCGCCCACCAUUUUUCCUGCCGAUGGGCUUAGGUUAUAUAAACCUUUUUGCCUGUCCGGAUUUGUUUUUGCCUGGUUUGUAAAUGUAGUUUUUCCUGCGUUAGCAAAAGUUUAACCAGUUUAUAUUAAAAGAAGAUAACCGUAUUUAUCCGUCAAAUUGUUUUUUGUUAAAAAAAUCGUUAGCGCCAACGUAAAUGCAUAAUUUGGAAGGCAGGGGUAUUUAUAAUUAGAUUUGUUGGUUAUAUAGGCGUGCCGUUUUUUACAAUAACAAAUAUCCUUUUAGCAAAUAAAUAGCGAUUGGUGGAUAAUUUUUGGCUUUUUCGGACCCUAAUACCACAAUUGAAAUAAACGUCGACAAUUAGCGGAAUAUUAUAUUAAUUACCGGCUUUAUUGGCUUGGGUUAAUUUUUGCGGUAAAUUAUACCAGAAAAGCGUUAUUAUAAUUAAAAUUACGUUCCGUUUUAACCCGCAACAAAUUCGCAGGUUUGUUUUGUUUUUACACAAAACUCGCCCUAAAUAUUAAAUUUUCCGAUUUAUCGGAGCCGCCAGAAAUCGUUUGCAAACUUUAGAAUUCCGGAGACAAUUUAUAUUAAAUAUAUUAUUUAACAGUGGAGACAAAAAAUUAAAAAUUGUUAUUAACGGUAGACGUAUAAUAUCGGCCCAUUAUAUUCCUUCCGCCUCCAUUUUUCGCAUUCCUUUAACCAUUAUAAUACCCGUGCUAGCAUUUAGAGAAUUUGCAACGAGUACCCUCGCCAAUACGGAAUAACACCUUAAAGGGUAUAUGGGAUCACCUUUAUUACCUAACCUUUAUUUUAUAUUAAAGCUAAACCUUAUCUUUGUCGAUAACGGCCAGUUUCCUUCUCUCAUAUUAUAUUAAAUUCCGACGUAUUUGCAAUUUCGCGAUCGACGCGACGCGCUAAAUGCGCCGUAAAAAACCCCGCGUCGCUAAUAUCCGCGCAAGGUUUCCGUUCAAAUAAAAUUAGCCGCCUAACAGGUAAAUGCACAAAUCGACCUUAUAUAAUUUAACGUUUAAAUUUAAAAAGCCAUGUAAAAUUGGAAGAAAUGUCGUCCCGGCAGCGGAAAAUAUAAAUCGCAUAAUUUACGCACGCAGGGAAGGUAAUAUUAACGUUAUUAAUUUAUUAUUAUCGCGGCCGUCCAAUCGGCCCCUUUUUCGAACAGAAGUUUUACCAUUUCGACGUAUUUUUAAUUUAAUAUAACGUUAACGACGUCCAUUUAAUAUAAGGAUUAGGCGACCGGACAAAAACCCAAAUUGGAUUUUCUUUUUAAAUAUUUUUGGAUGGAUCCGCAAAAACAGCGACGGACCAAAUCGCCAUCCAACCAAAAAUUAUUAUAUUAAAAAAUGCAAAUAUUAAAAUUUCGAACCUAAAAUAUCAAAAUUUAAUUAAAAUUAGCAAACCAAUUUUGUAAUAAUUACUUAAUUAAAUAUAUAGUUUAUUACUAAUAUAGUUAAUAUUACCGUCCUUUCGUACUUUAAUUGUAACAAUUCUAUUUCCGGUUGGCGGUAAAACACUGUUUUUAAUUUUAGGUAACUUCUUAUUUUCAAAUACAAUUGCAGAGUUUCCGUGCGUAACGUUGGUCGUUUUGUCGGUCGUAGCAACGAAUAUAAUUUUGGGAUCCAAAGGUUCCAGAUAAUUAAAUGUAACGUGGCGAUUCUUAUUUAUCGAUAUGGGAUACGCAAUCUGGUAUUUGGUAUCGAAAACGGCGCGACGGUCGCAUAUUUUUUUGGUCGGGAAAUGGUUAACGGUCGCGAACGGCAAAAUGUAAUUGAGGAAUAAUUCCAGCAAAAUUUAUUUUAAAAAUUAAAGCAAAUUAUUAAAAAAUUCGAGCCAAAAAGAAAUUAAUUUAUAUAUUUACCGGUUGGGUGGCCAUUUCCGCUCAAACGGACGCCUGGCGCGGACGUUAAUUACGCGUAAUUUUUUGCGGCGUAUAUCGACGCGUUAAUAGAAAAUUGCAAAAGUACCAAAAUCCGAUAUAAAAGGGGAAAAACAAAUAUAGAAAUAUUUAUCGAUAAAGACAAAAAAUCUUAAGGUUUAUAUUGGGCCAAUAAAAAUUGUCCCACAAAAAAAAAGGGGCGCCCAUUACCGGUUGGGGAUCCGAGCAAAGACGGCUCCAAUAUUUUUAAAGGUGGCAAAUUAACAGGAUAAAAAAUUAGUUUUGGCGCCUUGGAUUUUAUACGAUUAUAUUUGUUACGUAAAUACCCCCGAUACGUAUAAGGCAAAUUAUAUUUGGGAUAGGUUAUUUUAAUAAUAUAAUAACCCUGUUAUGCAACAAUUGGCAAAAUAUAUAACCCGGACUUCUUUAAUUAUAUUUUAAUUAUUAUUUAUAAUCGCAUGGGAAAUCGGGAUUCCCUAAUAAUAUUUACCCUUUAACGACCGAUUUUAAUUGCACCAACCUUAUUUUGGGCCCGCUCCCUAAAUCCGACGAACGUAAUAUUCGGGUCCGGUUCGACCCUGUUUUUUCCGGGGUAUUACCGCCUCCAAUCGCAAUUCCAAUUGUUUAAUUUUUUAUUUUGCGUUAGCAAAAUAUAAAUCCUCGGAAUCCCAGCCUUUCCGGAUCUUUGAAAAUAACAAAUUUUGCGUAAAACUGUUCCUAAUUAGUUUAAUAUAUCGUCCCAAUUAAUCUGCCAUUCCCUAAUAUUUUUGGGGGUUUCCCAAUUCACCAACGAACCGUUUAGGAUUAAAUAAUCCAAAUUGCCGGAUUUUAACGGUAAUAAACGACGGUCGUAAUACCCGAUAUUAUAAAUGUUCUGCUAUUGUACCAAACUGUUCUAAUUUUCCAAAAAAAGGGGGUUAAAUAACGGUUUGUUAAUAUUAACCGGCCAUAAUCCCGUUACCAGCCACCGCUUACAACGUUCCGGAUUAUAAAGGUUAUUUUGGCGUAUUUAAUAAUAGCAAUUAAAAAAGAAAUUGCACGAAAUGCUAAUAGCCACUAUCCGAUCUCAAUUAUUUAUUAAUUAACGUUAAAUUAACACUUUUAUAUUCCGACCAAUCCCGUAUUCCGGCCACCCCAAAAAAUUAAAGCGAUUUAUAACUUUAUUUACGCAAUUUUUAUUUAAUCGGUCAAAUUUAGGACAGUAAUAUUAUCCAAUAUUUUAUUAGAAGGUAUUUUUGCCGGGGAAUUAACUUCGUCCAGCAUUUCUACCCUCGCUUCCCUUUAAAUGCGUUAAAUCUGCCGAAUAGUUACGAAAGUUUCGUUUGGAUCGGGAUAAACCUUUUUCCUUUUGGUAGGCCGUAAUACCUCGAUUUGUGCUUUUAAAAUUUCGAUUUCCCGUUUUUGUAAAAUUAUUUUAAAAUCUUUUUGGUCCCAUGUUUUCCGGAAUUUCGAAAAUAACAAUCUUUGGUUAGAAUUUAUAUUUCCAAAUAGUUAAACCGACCGGAGUUGGUCCUCCAUAUUACGGCCAGGUAUAUAUUGGAGAAUUUUAAUAUAUUAGGCGUUAUUAA
rnacentral:sRNA from 1 species